rnacentral:snRNA from 1 species
GUGCUCACUUUGACAGCACAUAUACUAAAAUGGAACAAUUUGGCCCUUGUGCAAGGAUGAUAUGUAAAUUUAUGAAACAUUCCAUAUUUUA